AAUGGAAAUAUGGAUGCCUCUGAAGUUCUGAAAGAAAAGGUUGGUUCACUGGCAGUAUAUUGCUAUUUUGAACAUUAGUGCCUCGGCUUACUAACAUGUCUUGAAUAAAGUUUGUUCACCAUUUUUUUCUUCUUUCCUUUCCUUCCUUUUUUGAGUUGAAAAAUCCCUCCUUGUUUAUUUGAUGUCAUUCUUGAUGUACUAGCGAAUCAGGUAAUUGCUGAAGAGGUGAUUUUCUAUACUUUACUCAAAAAAUUGUGGGGUUAACUUGAAAGCUUAAUAUGACUGGUCAAUGAAAUUUUUGCAUUGAAUAUAUGGCUUCCUUUCCAAAGGAAACAAACAAACUGAAGUUUUACUAUUACUAAUUUGCUAUACUUCUGCUUGAGGAGUUUGCUUUUCAUGCAUUCAUGCUGUUAACUUUUACUAAUGUAUAGAGGUUAUUUUAUAGCCUCUGUUUUUGGCAGGCAUGGACUGUAGUUUGAGGCAUUGUAUUUGCUUCUGAUACAUAUGUUUGGAACUAGUGAUAUGGUUGCUGAUGAAUGAUGUGAUUUGACAAUUGACAUUUGAGAGACAAGCUUGGAACCGGUCAUGAGUAAUAGCUUGAUUUCUCAUGCUUCUACCUCCCUUCUAUUUCCUUCUCUUUUAGGUUUUAAACUAUGCAAUUUUGGUUUAUAUCAUUAAUGAACUGCAAAUCUUGUUUUUUCUCUCUAUUAGACUGCCAAUUAUCUUUUUGGCGUUGGAUCUUCUAGGGGAAUAUUGGUGCCUUGGAGGCCAAACAUUGAGUCUGUAUAAUGUUUAAUUGUGGGGUAUGAUUAUGCUCUAGUCAUUUAGGAAUGUUUUGCACUUAAAUCAUCUUUUUGUUAGUGUUUAAACUGUGCUCUGUGAAAAUUGCCAAUUACAUUUCUGAUGGCAAUUCCCUUCCCGUCCCAUCCCCUCUAAUUAUAUGAAGUCUCAAGUGUAAGAGAAGACUUUGUUAUUAUCCUUCAAACAAAAUAAAAUGACGUAAAUUUACUUUUUUGGUUUUACCUAUUAUUGAAAAACUUCAUUUCAGGGGAAUGCUGCAUUUAAGGGAA
rnacentral:misc_RNA from 1 species